CAUAAAUAAUAGAAUUAAGAAAGCAGUAAAAUAAUAUUAAAACUAAAAUCAACCAAAUUCAAAUCUUAAACUUGGUUGUCUUUAUAUGUACAAACAUACCUUCUAUAUAUACGUACAUAUGUAUCAAACGUAAUCAUUAAGAAAGCUAAAUAAUCAUUGAGUCCUAAAUGUUCUUUUAUUAGUGCAAAAAAUAAUUAUUAUGUUUUGGCUAAUAUAUAAUAUUACUGAAAAAAAUCAUAUUUUAUAAGGGCAACUAAAACAUGAUAAUUUUUCAUUCAAUAUUAAUUUUUUUAUAUUAUAAUGACAUGAUAUAAAUACUCUUUGUUUUACCAUAAUGACCUUUUUUCGCAGAAUAAUUAAUUUUGCUUAAUUUUCAUUAACUAAGAGUGUUGGUUUGCAAUUCCUGGUAAUUUAGAAUUUAGAAUAGAUUGCAAGCAAUUGCAAACCUGUAAUGCACAUUCAAAUAUAAAUUUCAAUUUCAAGAUUUAUUCCUUUCAAGAAUUUCAAAAAUAAAUUUUGUCAAAAUCUUUAAUUUUCAUUGAACAUAAUAUAUUUCCUUACUCAAAAUUAUACCCAUUCAACAAACUUCAAGGACAGACUUUUUAGUCAAUUGCAAAUAUCAAUAACACACAUCAAUUUUACCAUGUUAAUAUCAAUUUAAUUUAUGCUGAGUAUUUUAUUGUCAUUGUUACAAUAGUUAUAAUCUCUCUCUCUCUAUAUAUAUAUAUACCAAAAAAAAAAACAUUUAUAACAUAAACAUUCUUUGAAACUGUUGAUUUUGAUUUUUGUUUCAGGAAUAAAAAUUACAAUAAAUCUAUCACAAUUUCAAUAUCCUUUGUGAAGGGCACAAUGGUUAACAAUCCUCGAAUGUUUACAUUGGAAUAUUGGUGAAUAUUUGCAGAUUUUACAAGUCAAUUGUAACACUAGAUAUCACAAUAAUAUGACUUUUUGAGAAUAUUCGAUGUAUAUAUAUAGAGAGAACAAAUAAAAAUAGUUGUGAUAGCAGGAACAAAAAUUGAGGUGGGAUGUGUUAGAAUCUCGUGGCAGUAGCCAAAACUGUAGUGCUGGUAGCAACACCCUAUUUAUAUAAUUUUUGAUGAAACCCACAAAAACAGUUUAAUAUAACAUUGAGCAGUUGUUCAUUAAAAAAUAGAAACUCAACUGACAAACUUGGAAAUGAAAUCCCAUUUAUUUUAAAAAUAUUACAGUCAAUAGCAUAUAUAUAUAUAUAUAUAUAUAUAGAAUGAACUAGUAGAGUGGCUGUACUUACAUGACAGUGUUUUGUGUUCUAAUUAUAGAUGGAUGGCAUCGACAAGGGCGCAUGUUCAUCUUGCCAUCACUGUAUCAAGGAUGACCAUAAAAUCGACAAAGAAUGUAGUAAAACCAUUUUUGGAGGUGAACAGUUGAGGAGUAAAAUAGCCUUGUGUGGUAAAUAAAAAAAAAUAGGUGACAUUAAGUAAAGACACAAUUUAGACACGAGUAGGAUCUUACAUCCUACAUGAAAGAAGUUGUUUUGACAUUUUAUAAAUUAUUAUUUUUUGAACAUUGGAUUUAAUUUAUUAAUCAAGCAAAGAAAAAUACAGAUGUGAGUAGCGGAAUGUGAUUUACCUCCAAACUUCAGUCAGAUUGUGAAUGACCACAAGAUUGAAAUGGUUCCAGGAAUCAAAUCAUCUUCACAAGUGCCAUGUUGAUAAAGUAAAAUGGAUACUGUUGGGCAGAUACAAGUUUUAAGAUGUCAGAGUGUGCAAAAACCCUGAUUCCACCAGUUUGUUGUAAAAAUAUCAUCAUAUUUGCAUUGUGUGAAACAACAUCAAAAAAUUGCAUGAUUCAUUCAAUAUGAAUUUCACAAGUUUUUAGUGAUGACUCUUGAAUGAUGCAAACCCUUGUUAACAGUAAAUAAAAUAAAAAUAAAAAUAAAACACAGCAGCAUAUCCACAUAUGUACACAAUUUUAAAGAUUGGUAUACUUCUUAUUUGAGAGCAGACCCCCAUAGCCCACAUCAGUUAAGGUGAGGCAAUGUUGACAUUGAAGUGGUUGUGUGGACAACAACAACUAAGUGCAUUAAAGAGUAUAGAAUUAUCAUUGCCAACUUGCAUUUGACACCAAAAAGGUGUAGAAAACUCGUGCUAUACACAAACCCUAAACCUCUUCAACCCUUACAUUCUGAGUAUGACCCAAGUCAAGCUUUUGGAAUGAUAGCCUGGUACCAAAGGCAGGAUUACCACCAGCGCAGCCAAUCUUGAUAAACUCUUGUAUACCUUAAUUGAACAUCCAGUCAAAUACUACAAGUGGGUACUGAGCCUGGAAACAAGCACUCCAAUCGGAAAACCCUGCUUCGUGAAGUCCCAGCAAGAAGACCACCACCUCAUCUGAUAAGAUUCUGGAAGCUUCCAGAAACUCUUCAGUGUUGGUAUUGGCCCCAAGUGAGGCCAUGAAAAUCAAAAGAACACGAACUAGAAGUGAAGUAAAAGUUCCCCGCACGCAAGAUAUUUCUCUGCUAUAAUAAAUUGAUCCAUCCCUUAGUACACGUGGAGGACAAGGUCCUAAGGGGG
rnacentral:lncRNA from 1 species